GAGAAAGAAAGAGAAAGAAAGAAAGGAAAGAAAAAGAGAGAAAGAAAGGAAGGAAGGAAAGAUGAAGGAAAAUUGAGGCUGAGGAUCUGAGAUAGUCUGUAUAUGUAGCAACCUCUUUCGGCCACCACAUGGUUUUACUCCCUCAAUCUGCAGAGCUGUGCAGCAUUCUACUCCAAUGAUCAAGGACUCAGAAGAUCUUGUAUCUGGAAACUCAUGCUCCACCUGCAGCAGACCAGAGACCCUGGGGAAAUUCAUUUUGUUACACAGAAGCAGCCCUUUGUAGGGAGAGAGCAGUGAGGACAGUCCCUACAAUAGUGGCUGGGAGAUAAUGGCAGAGCUCAGGAUCCCUGUCCUCUACUGGGGAGAAAGGCAUGUAAGAAGAUGAGAAUGCCGAGUGUUAAAUGAGAAGAUCAGGAACCUGAGGCUUGAAGAAGUUAGAUGACCUGGUUAAGGCCACUUGACUGGAUUCAAACCCUGCCUGACUCCACAUGACUCCUUUGGGCAGCAUCGUGUGACCACACCACCUAUUAUUAAUGAGCCAGGGACUGAACUGAGACCUCUCAAUGACAGCGAGCAGAUAAGACGUGUGGAAGGAUAUUCCGAGGAGGAAAUUUCAAAAUGAAGAAAACCCUUUCCUCUUGAGAUCUUGCCUCCAAACCAGGCUUUGGGUUGGGCGAGAUCCGAGAGCAGCGUUGCACCUCAAUCCAGACUGACCUCACGGCGGCAGC